rnacentral:lncRNA from 1 species
CGGCGUGGGAGGGGGCACUGCGUGGGGAUGUCCGUGGGGUGUCCCCUGGGAUGCUGCGUGCGGUGGUGCACAGGGAUGGUGAAUUGGGCGGUGCACUGGGAUGUACUGGGAUGUUGCACUGGGAUGGUGGGGGGGUGUAAUGGCAUGGCGCAAGGGGAGGGUGCAUGGGGUGGUGCACUGGGGUGGUGCACUGGGGUGGUGCACGGGGAUGGUGGGAUGGCGUAAUGGGAUGGUGCACUGGGAUGGUGCACUGGGAAGGUGGGAUGGUGCACUGGGAUGUUGUAUUGGGAUUGUACACAGGGAUGUUGUACUGGGAUGGUGCACGGGGAUGGUGCAUGGGGUGUUGCACUGGGAUGUACUGGGAUGGUGCACUGGGAUGGUGCAUGGGGUGUUGCACUGGGAUGGUGCCCUGGGUUGGUGCACUGGGAUGGUGCACUGGGGUGGUGCACGGGGAUGGUGCAUGGGGUGUUGCACUGGGAUGUACUGGGAUGGUGGGAUGGCACACUGGGAUGUUGUACUGGGAUGGUGCACUGGGAUGGUGCACAGGGAUGGUGCACGGGGAUGGUGCGUGGGGCAUUGCACGGGGUAUAUGGGGUAUUCCAAGGAGCACUGGGUGCACAGCGCAUCGUGUGGGGCAUUGCAAGGGACAACCCAUGGGGUACUGCAAGAAGCAUGGAAAGAAGAAUCGCCUGCUGCCCGCCUCCUGGCACUGGGGGGGGCGGAAGCAGAGGACUGGGGGCAAACAGCCCCCAGGGUUCACCCACCUGCCUGGGGCUGGGGUCUGGGGCUAACCCGCCCGUGGGCAGGGCAGCUCCGGGGAGCAGCGGUGUCCCUGCCGUGGGCAAAACGCGGUGCACGUCUGGCACUGGCCCUGCACCUCCCUGUGCCAUGUCUCAGCCCCAUAAAACGCUGCCAAGGGCUGUGGCAAAAGUGGGAGAGCAAAGCCAAGGCAUCCUGCAUCUCCCCACCUCGCAGAGCCUUCAUCCCUCCACCCGCGGCCACUCACCGAGUCACCCCCGGCCGGUCCGAGGUGCAACAGGGGCUUGGGGACAGGGAUGGGGACAAGGACAGGGAUGGGGACAGGGCUGCUUGCUCAGCUCCCCAUCUGCAGGAGGAUGGGAAACCCCGAGCCCCCCGUGCUCACCUCCCC